GGUCAACUGCAGCAGUCUCCUAGUUCACAAGCUGGUUAUGCUCAGCCUCCCCCAGCACAGCCUGGGUAUCCUCAACCAGCUGCUCAAUCAGGUUAUGCCCAGGCUGAUCCCAGCGCUCAGCGACCUCCCACUUCUGCUUAUGGUGCUCCACCAGCUCAGCCAGGUUAUGGUGCCCAACCCUAUGGCGCUCCACCUAGUUAUGGCCAGCAGCCACCUCCUUACAGCAGCUAUGGUGCUUACUCCCAGCCUCCAGCAUAUGCUUCUGAAGCAACUCCACCCUCCCAGUCUGUUCCUCCUGGUGGUGGGGUUGCAAAAGCAUCACCUCAGAGUUAAUGUCGG
rnacentral:lncRNA from 1 species